rnacentral:tRNA from 1 species
GCCGGCGUGUCGAAAUUGGCAAACGAUUCCGGCUCAAAACCGGAUGCCCGUAAGGGCUUGUGGGUUCGAGUCCCACCGCCGGCACCA